AGAUUGAACGCUGGCGGCGUGCCUAACGACAUGCAAGUCGAGCGGUAACAGGUGUAGCAAUACAUGCUGACGAGCGGCGAACGGGUGAGUAAUGCUUUGGAAUCUUCCCAGUAGUGGGGAAUAACCAGUCGAAAGAUUGGCUAAUACCGCAUACGUCUGUAAAGGGAAAGCGGGGGCUCGUAAGACCUCGCGCUAUUGGAUGAGCCAAAGUCGGAUUAGCUAGUUGGUGGGGUAAUGGCCUACCAAGGCGACAAUCCGUAGCUGGUCUGAGAGGACGACCAGCCACACCGGAACUGAGACACGGUCCGGACUCCUACGGGAGGCAGCAGUGGGGAAUAUUGGACAAUGGGGGAAACCCUGAUCCAGCGACGCCGCGUGUGUGAAGAGGCCUGCGGGUUGUAAAGCACUUUUAGUGGGGACAAAAAGCUACGGAUUAAUACUCUGUGGUCUUGAUUUAACCCAAAGAAAAAGCACCGGCUAACUCUGCGCCAGCAGCCGCGGUAA
rnacentral:rRNA from 1 species